rnacentral:rRNA from 1 species
UACGAAGGGGACUAGCGUUGUUCGGAAUUACUGGGCGUAAAGCGUGCGCAGGCGGUGAUGUAAGACAGUUGUGAAAUCCCCGGGCUCAACCUGGGAACUGCAUCUGUGACUGCAUUGCUGGAGUGCGGCAGAGGGGGAUGGAAUUCCGCGUGUAGCAGUGAAAUGCGUAGAUAUGCGGAGGAACACCGAUGGCGAAGGCAAUCCCCUGGGCCUGCACUGACGCUCAUGCACGAAAGCGUGGGGAGCAAACAGG